rnacentral:rRNA from 1 species
GCCCUUUUCCGGUUGAUCCUGCCGGAGGCCAUUGCUAUCGGGAUCCGAUUUAGCCAUGCUAGUUGCACGGGUUCAGACCCGUGGCGAACAGCCCAGUAACACGUGGUCAAGCUACCCUGUGGACCGGAACAACCUCGGGAAACUGAGGCUAAUUCCGGAUACAGCUUCCAGCCUGGAAGGGCGGAAGCUGGAAAAGCUCCGGCGCCACAGGAUGCGACUGCGGCCGAUUAGGUAGACGGUGGGGUAACGGCCCACCGUGCCCAUAAUCGGUCCGGGUCAUGGGAGUGAGAGCCCGGAGACGGGAUCUGAGACAAGAUCCCGGGCCCUACGGGGCGCAGCAGGCGCGAAACCUUUACAAUGCACGAAAGUGCGAUAAGGGGAUCCCGUGUGCGAGGGCGUAUAGUCCUCGCUUUUCUGCACCGUAAGAUGGUGCAGGAACAAGGGCUGGGCAAGACCGGUGCCAGCCGCCGCGGUAAUACCGGCAGCCCGAGUGAUGGCCGAUUUUAUUGGGCCUAAAGCGUCCGUAGCCGGCCGGGAAAGUCCAUCGGGAAAUCCACGCGCUCAACGUGUGGUCGUCCGGUGGAAACUGUCCGGCUUGGGGCCGGAGGACCCGAGGGGUACGUCCGGGGUAGGAGUGAAAUCCCGUAAUCCCGGACGGACCACCGGUGGCGAAAGCGCCUCGGGAAGACGGACCC